UGCUGGGGCCCACUGAGCUUGGGAUCCUCGGAGCAGAAGCCAUCCGAGGACAGAGAGCAGAUGGUAGCUGCAGGGCCGGGGCAGCUGGGUGCGGAUGCAGGAGGCCGUGGGGGAAGCUGCCUUUGCCCCUGCCACAGAUUAACCUGAGAGAGACCAGUGCCAGGAAAAGGGAUGUGGACGUUCAGGGAGGAGCACCCACUGGAGCAUCAGGAGGGUGUGGGGAGGGAAGACUCUGGAGCUGGAUGUCCUUGAAGGGUGGUGAUGCUGGAGAUUAGUCCCCUGCCACCCCACUGCCCGAGAGCAGACCAACUAAGGUCCUUCUGCCCAGAGAGCCUCCCCACACCGCUCCAUCUGCCUGGUGAGUCACCCACGCUUCACCACCCUCGCCAAGAGAUCCAAGCUGAGCACCUUGUAUGUCUCCCUAUCAUCGCACUUAAUGGAUAUGUUCGGCCUCCCAGUGGACCAGCGUGUCCCUGGGCCCCAGGACUCUUUCUUACUUAUCUCCACGUGGAGCUCCCAGAACAGGUUUGGGCACAGUGGGUGGGAACGAGGGAAGCCUCUGGGUGUCAGCUGAGCCUGAGACACAUGGAAGAUCACGUCCAGAUGCAUGGGUGUGCACGGUAUACACGCACCUUGACCAAAAGAAGUCAUUGUGCCAUUUGCUGAUGUACAAUGGAUGGCCCUAAAACUGAGUUGCUUGAAACGGUGGCAAUGUAUCAUUUCUCUUGAUUCCAGGGGUUGACUGGGCCCUGCCAGGGAGUUCUGGCGCCAUGGCGUGCUGAAGUCACUCAUGGGCGGCACUCAGCUGGGAGCGCAGCUGGGGCUGAAGCCUCUCAUUCUUGGGUCUUCCUCUCCACGGCUGAUCAUCAUUCUGCAUUCUGCCUGAGCGACUUCAUAGCUCGGCUUCUGGCUUUCUGGAGGAGCAUGCCAAGAGGGCAGGUCUUAGUGCACGAGCGCUUCCCAGGUCUUUUUUUUUUUUUUUUUUUUUUUUUUUUCAUAUUUACUAAUGUUGCACUGGCCAAAGGGUAUGGCUCACUAAGGCCAUCAGGGGAACUGUUGGCUGUGUCUCUGUACCCUGGUCCUGAGUACAGUUUAGCUCCCUCCCUGCCUGCCAAAGUUAUUCUAAAGAACUUUGGGUGGGCAUUGAUCUACUCUGGUCCAGGUGGGGCUUGUCUCAGUCAUCAAGGCUGGCCUUGAAGGUGGGAUAGGAGGGAGACAUCCACACCUGAUCUCUCUGUGUUGGACACGACCCUCACCCCUCUGAAGGCUGGGUCUUAGGAAGGGUCCCCUCUCAUGGGACAGCUAUCACCAGAGACGGGGCAGUGGAAGAGGGAAUGGUGUUCUUUGUUUUCUACCAACAAA
rnacentral:lncRNA from 1 species